rnacentral:lncRNA from 1 species
AAAUUAAAUGACAAUAAAAUAGUUAAGUAAAGAUAGAAAUACUAGACUUGGAUGGUGACGUCGAUCUUGAUGAAUGAAUGUCUAGGUUUGGAUUUGGAAUUCACUCAAUCCAUUAUAACUUCAUAAUUCUCUACUCAUCUCUUUUGUUCAUCCCCAAUUCACUAAUGUAUUCUAACCAACUCUCGCAUGGUCGUAGAUUCUAAACUACUUGCCC